rnacentral:rRNA from 1 species
ACGGGAGGCAGCAGUGAGGAAUAUUGCGCAAUGGAGGAAACUCUGACGCAGUGACGCCGCGUAUAGGAAGAAGGUUUUAGGAUUGUAAACUAUUUUAGACAGGGAAGAAAAUGACAGUACCUGUAGAAUAAGCUCCGGCUAACUACGUGCCAGCAGCCGCGGUAAUACGUAGGGAGCAAGCGUUAUCCGGAAUUAUUGGGUGUAAAGGGUGCGUAGACGGGAAUACAAGUUAGUUGUGAAAUCCCUUGGCUUAACUGAGGAACUGCAACUAAAACUAUAUUUCUUGAGUGCAGGAGAGGAAAGCGGAAUUCCUAGUGUAGCGGUGAAAUGCGUAGAUAUUAGGAGGAACACCAGUGGCGAAGGCGGCUUUCUGGACUGUAACUGACGCUGAGGUACGAAAGUGUGGGGAGCAAACAGGAUUAGAUACCCUGGUA